UAAAGAAGGCGGAGUUAGUUUUCAUGCAAACGCAAAUAAAUAUAAGCAGACGAAGUGCUAUUUUUGUGUUGAUGUUGAGCGUCAUCAAAAUGGAUAACUACGAUUUUUACGUGUACCAGUGGAAACGAAAUGUGUUGUUGGAUUCACAGCUCUUUUAUUUGCGUGUCAACCAAAGAGAAUCCAGUGAAAAAGAGAAAACCACCUCUCGCAAGAAAACCACUUGGUAACAUAAGGAAUUAUGUGGACAUUUCCCUUCUCAAAUUACACGUGCUGUUACAAAAGUAAAAGCUAAUGCUAUUACUAAGACUACAGUUUGCACAACACAAGCACAAGAUACUCCUACAGAAGGUCCUGUUACAGUUUAUGAAGACAUAAAUAAUGAAGUCAUUGAGGUUGCAGCUGUGUGUAAUGUCACAGGUAAUAUGUCAGUUCUAGAGGCUGUCAAGGAAAAUGAAAACUCAACAUUUUCACCUGAUGACAUUCGAAAUAUCAAGCUACCCUCAACAACUUGGAGAAUUGGAUCCCUAGAAGACGGAUUGCUUAAUUUCUUUAACAUUGAAGAAAAAAAACAAAGUGUUGCCAUUCAAAAAUUGCUUUCAGUUGAUUUCAAUAGACGCAGUUACACCAAAACAAUCAUAAAUCGAGAGCUUACAGAUAUUGAAGAGCACCAACACGAGACCAACACUUUUACAUCACUAGCACAAAUUGAAGAAGUUUUGUUAAAUCUUCACAAUGCAAGAAUAUGUCCUGGCAUCGUCCACGAUCCUUUAAAAUACCCAACUACAGAAAACUUGGUUCGAAAUGGUCAGCUGCUGCAUGGAAUUUGGAGAUCGAAUAAAUGCAGCCUCCUAAUUUCUGAAUGUGGCAAGAUGACGCACUGCAAAUUCUGCAAGAUGUUGAAGAAAGCUUUACAAAUGCAGUUUAACAGACACAAGAAAAUUAAACUGCACACCAAAAUCAACCACACAUUUUUGAGCAUGAAACAACUAUCCCGAAAAAUCGUUGCAAAGGCCAAACGUGAAGCCCAACUUAAGUUUCAAUUAAAGAAGAAAAAAGAAGAAAAUAUGGUCGUCGUUGAGGGUUUGUAUACAGCAAGCCGAGGCUGUAUAUACUGAGGCAAACAACAUAAAACCUAAAUGAUUACUAGCCUACCAUUUUACGUAAUUUUAUGUGCCACUGCUCAUUUCCCUAUAUGAAGAUGAUAAUUUUUUACUGAAAGUUACAACAAUUAAACGCAGAAAAUACAACAAAGCAUCGGGCCGUAUUUUUACUGUAGUCCCUAAUUGUAUUUCUCCGUUUAGGUUUUAUCAGCUAUACAUUCAGCCAUUGAAUUUUGAAACUGAAAGCCGGUCGGAAAAAUCCAUUGCGAAGGUUGUUUAUAUUAACUAAGCCUGAUGUGUUAUCAACGUCAUCUUGCGUCAAAACGGGGAAAAAAAUAAACAAACGAA
rnacentral:misc_RNA from 1 species